rnacentral:rRNA from 1 species
GUUCAGAUUGCAGGCUGCAACUCGCCUGCAUGAAGUCGGAAUUGCUAGUAAUCGUAGGUCAGCAUACUACGGUGAAUACGUUCCCGGGCCUUGUACACACCGCCCGUCAAACCAUGAGAGUUGGCAACACCCGAAGUCGGUAGUCUAACCGCAAGGAGGACGCCGCCGAAGGUGGGGUUGAUGAUUAGGGUUAAGUCGUAACAAGGUAGC